UGGUGUCUACCAUGAGAUUCUACUCAAUUC
rnacentral:piRNA from 1 species